rnacentral:rRNA from 1 species
CUACGUGCCAGCAGCCGCGGUAAUACGUAGGUCCCGAGCGUUGUCCGGAUUUAUUGGGCGUAAAGCGAGCGCAGGCGGUUAGGUAAGUCUGAAGUUAAAGGCUGUGGCUUAACCAUAGUACGCUUUGGAAACUGUUUAACUUGAGUGCAAGAGGGGAGAGUGGAAUUCCAGGUGUAGCGGUGAAAUGCGUAGAGAUCUGGAGGAAUACCGGUGGCGAAGGCGGCCCCCUGGACAAAGACUGACGCUCAGGUGCGAAAGCGUGGGGAGCAAACAGGAUUAGAUACCCUGGUAGUCCACGCUGUAAACGAUGUCGAUUUGGGGGUUGGGCUUAAAGCUUGGCGCCCGUAGCUAACGUGAUAAAUCGACCGCCUGGGGAGUACGGCCGCAAGGUUAAAACUCAAAUGAAUUGACGGGGGCCCGCACAAGCGGUGGAGCAUGUGGUUUAAUUCGAUGCAACGCGAAGAACCUUACCUACUCUUGACAUCCAUGGAAUCUUGUAGAGAUACGAGAGUGC